UUAUAGAAUAAAGUAAAGAGUGCAUUGAAUUUAUAAAAUGUUUGGGUAAGAUUUUUGUUCUGUGGGAAAAUAAUAUGCGUAUCAAUGGGUAGACCAGGGAUCCAUCCCUAAGUGUGCCUAAAACAUGACUUCUGUAAUGCAUCCUCUUUAUUAAAAAAUUGUAGGCUAGGCAUACAUUCCAGUAGUCACGACACCAUUACUAUUGCCAAUAAUACCUGACAAUUGACAUAAUAAUUCGUUGUAAAAAAUAAAACUCUGCAUGGGAAUUAAAUGUGGGUACGUCUUUAAAUUAACCAUUCGUAUAAUUAGCAGCUUCAAUCUUACACUCUCUUGCUAGGCCAAUGAGCAUUAUGCUUCCUGGUUCUUUGUUGAGCCCCCCUUGUGUACUCUACGCUGAAUGUAGCCAACUACAUUAUUUUGCGGUACUUCGAAGGCCAGUGUUUUCAACCACGUGCAGCUUCAUAAACUUCGCACAGACGACGAGAAGAACGCUGAGUUGCGCAGACUCUGAUCGCGCAUUUUCCAUGACCUACAGGCGGCCACGAGCGCAACAUUACGAAAUCUUACCAGAAUACGAAUUUGAAUCAAUUACAUGACCCCCACGCUGCCCGUUUCUCCAUGAUUCAAGAAGGCAAUGAGCCCCGUCGGGUCUUUUUAAAAAUGGCGGGUGGGGAAGCGAAACUAAUGCGUUACGUUAGAUAUUUUAACAUCAAAGUGAAGAAAAUGCUUGUCUCAACCUUGAUUCCAUGUCAUUUUGAUUAUGUCUGCUCUGCUUGGUAUAGUGGGCUAUCAAAAAAUGUUAUCAGGUAUAUGCUGAAUGUCCCGCCCAGGACCACAUAGGGGUACUGGAGUUCCGGGAGGUGGGCUUGUUGCCUUUGGAGUCCAGAGUGGACCAACUUAAACUCAAUCAUAUGUUUGACAUCUUAAUGAUCGUGCCCCAGGUUAUAAGAAAAACCACGUUGAUAUGGUCUAUAACCAACACAGUUACAAUACCAGAGCUAGUGUUAUGUCUUGUAAAAUCAGUACUGCGUAAGAGUAAACAGUACUGCGAGGAGCACGUUUUUCUAUACAGGCAUUUGUCUAUGGAAUAGCUUCCCCCUGGAAAACAAGCAAAGAAAAAGUACAAAUUGCUUUAAAAAGCAGGCAACGGUUUUAAUUUGUAUAAGGUUGUCUUAAGUAAGAGAAACCACUCCACUGCCCUUUGUGACCCCUACUGCUGGUCGGGUGUAUUGAUUUGAAGGACCGGUAUGAUGUGCAAUGGAUAGAUUGUUUUAAUGCAAAAUUAAUAUGGUUGAUUUUUAAGGUAAGGGGGGAAAAGUGCAGUGAAUAGGGCCACUUUUUAGGAUGUCAAAAUAAAUUAAUGUAUUUAUGGUUGUUUGUAAUUUUGUCUUGCCUUUUAAUCAUUAUAUGUGCUAUUGUUUUUACCAUUGAGGACCACUUUGGAAACAAGCGUUUUAAUUCAUACUUUCAAGUGAUAUCCUCUGGGUCCACAUCGUACAUUUUGUUGUAUAUGUCUGUUACCCAAAGUAAAUUCAAUUCAAUACCAGUAGAUGACGUAGAAUAGGCUUGGGCUUUCAGGAAAUGACUUGUGUGAGAAUGAUAAAGACACAGAAGAGCCUUGUCUAGAAGAACCGAAAUGACCCAAAUGGUCAAGACUAUCGAAAGCCUAUUCUUAUUGCCGGAUCUGUUUUCCCUAUCAGCCACUGCACGUGCUUCUUCAACUAUUUUAAAAUGUAUUUAGAGGCCUGCGAGCUAGGGUUUAUUUUUAUUAAGGGGAGCCCUAUACUAAAAACAGCUAUAAAAUGCAAGUUUUUAUUUAUUUUAAUUGUAUUUAAUCUUUAUUUAACUAGGCAAGUCAGUUAAGAACACAUUCUUAUUUACAAUGACAGCCUACCAAAAGGCCUCCUGCAGAGGUGGGGCUGAGAUAAACCAUUUUUUAUUAAAUAAACAUUUUGGACAAAACACACAUCAUGACAAGAGAGACACAGUGUCAUUACAUAAAGAGAGACCUACAGUAAGACAACAACAUAGCAUGGCAGCAACACAUGACAACACAGCAUAGUAACAAUACAACAUGACAACAAGAUGGUAGCAACACAACAUGGCAGCAGCACAAAACAUGGUACGAACAUUAUUGGACUAAGACAACAGCACAAAGGGCAAGAAGGUAGACAACAAUACAUCACACAAAGCCUCCACAACUGUCACUAAGAGUGUCCAUGAUUGAGUUUUUGAUUUGAAUGAAGAGAUUGAGAUAAAACUGUCUAUAUUGAAUGUCUUUUGCAGCUCAUUCCGGUCACCAGCUGCAGCAAACUGAAAAGAGGAGCGACCCAGGGACGUGUGUGUUGUAUGUGGAGGAUGAGGGCUGCAGUAGG